UCUCAAGCCCACCCACCUCUGCUCCCUCUAGCCCUCCGGUCAUUCCUCACUCUAGCCCCCGGCCUCCGCUCACUCUAGGCCACCGCGUACCUCACUCUACCCGCC